ACGUCUGCCUGGGUGUCACAAA
rnacentral:siRNA from 1 species